CGCUGGCGGCGUGCUUAACACAUGCAAGUCGAACGGAGUACCCGAAAUUGAAGCUUCGGCUAGAUUUUUGGAAUACUUAGUGGCGGACGGGUGAGUAACACGUGAGUAACCUGCCCUUGAGUGGGAAUAACACACCGAAAGGUGUGCUAAUACCGCAUAACAUAUGGAGUUCGCAUGAACACCAUAUCAAAGAUUUAUUGCUCAAGGAUGGGCUCGCGUCCGAUUAGGUAGUUGGUGAGGUAACGGCUCACCAAGCCGACGAUCGGUAGCCGGACUGAGAGGUUGAACGGCCACAUUGGGACUGAGACACGGCCCAGACUCCUACGGAAGGCAGCAGUGGGGAAUAUUGCACAAUGGGGGAAACCCUGAUGCAGCGACGCCGCGUGAAGGAUGAAGGUCUUCGGAUCGUAAACUUUUGUCUUCAGGGACGAUAAUGACGGUACCUGAGGAGGAAGCCACGGCUAACUACGUG
rnacentral:rRNA from 1 species